rnacentral:rRNA from 1 species
UAGGGAAUCUUCGGCAAUGGGGGCAACCCUGACCGAGCAACGCCGCGUGAGUGAAGAAGGUUUUCGGAUCGUAAAGCUCUGUUGUAAGUCAAGAACGAGUGUGAGAGUGGAAAGUUCACACUGUGACGGUAGCUUACCAGAAAGGGACGGCUAACUACGUGCCAGCAGCCGCGGUAAUACGUAGGUCCCGAGCGUUGUCCGGAUUUAUUGGGCGUAAAGCGAGCGCAGGCGGUUUGAUAAGUCUGAAGUUAAAGGCUGUGGCUCAACCAUAGUUCGCUUUGGAAACUGUCAAACUUGAGUGCAGAAGGGGAGAGUGGAAUUCCAUGUGUAGCGGUGAAAUGCGUAGAUAUAUGGAGGAACACCGGUGGCGAAAGCGGCUCUCUGGUCUGUAACUGACGCUGAGGCUCGAAAGCGUGGGGAGCGAACAGGAUUAGAUACCCUGGUAGUCCACGCCGUNNNGAUGAGUGCUAGGUGUUGGAUCCUUUCCGGGAUUCAGUGCCGCAGCUAACGCAUUAAGCACUCCGCCUGGGGAGUACNACCGCAAGGUUG